AAUUUGAGAGUUUGAUCCUGGCUCAGGAUGAACGCUGGCGGCGUGCCUAACACAUGCAAGUCGAGCGAGAAAGCUGUUGUUGAUCCUUCGGGAGAUUCAACAGCUGGAGAGCGGCGGACGGGUGAGUAACGCGUGGGUAACCUGCCCUAUGGAGGGGGAUAACGUCUGGAAACGGACGCUAAUACCGCAUAAGCAGACGGAGCCGCAUGGUUCUGCCUGAAAAACUCCGGUGCCAUAGGAUGGACCCGCGUAAGAUUAGCUAGUUGGUGAGGUAACGGCUCACCAAGGCGACGAUCUUUAGCCGACCUGAGAGGGUGAUCGGCCACAUUGGGACUGAGACACGGCCCAAACUCCUACGGGAGGCAGCAGUGGGGGAUAUUGCACAAUGGGGGAAACCCUGAUGCAGCAACGCCGCGUGAAGGAUGACGGUUUUCGGAUUGUAAACUUCUAUCAGCUGGGAAGAUAAUGACGGUACCAGACUAAGAAGCCCCGGCUAACUACGUGCCAGCAGCCGCGGUAAUACGUAGGGGGCAAGCGUUAUCCGGAUUUACUGGGUGUAAAGGGUACGUAGGCGGUCUAUUAAGUCAGAUGUGAAAGCCCGAGGCUCAACCUCGGGACUGCAUUUGAAACUGGUGGACUAGAGUACAGGAGAGGAAAGUGGAAUUCCUAGUGUAGCGGUGAAAUGCGUAGAUAUUAGGAAGAACACCAGUGGCGAAGGCGGCUUUCUGGACUGUAACUGACGCUGAGGUACGAAAGCGUGGGGAGCGAACAGGAUUAGAUACCCUGGUAGUCCACGCCGUAAACGAUGAA
rnacentral:rRNA from 1 species